ACUCAAAUGAAUUGACGGGGGCCCGCACAAGCGGUGGAGCAUGUGGAUUAAUACGUCACUAACCGUAGAACCUUACCCAGGCUUGACAUCUCGGGAACCUUCCUGAAAGGGAAGGGUGCUUCGCAAGAAGAGCCCGAAGACAGGUGUUGCAUGGCUGUCGUCAGCUCGUGUCGUGAGAUGUUGGGUUAAGUCCCGCAACGAGCGCAACCCUCACUGCCUGUUGCCAGCAUUCAGUUGGGCACUCUGGCGGAACUGCCCGGGUAACCGGGAGGAAGGUGGGGACGACGUCAAGUCAGCAUGGCCCGUACGCCUGGGGCUUCACACAUGCUACAAUGGCCGGUACAAAGGGUCCCGAAGCCGCGAGGCGGAGGCAAUCCCCAAAAGCCGGUCUCAGUUCGGAUCGCAGGCUGCAACUCGCCUGCGUGAAGGUGGAAUCGCUAGUAACCGCCGGUCAGCUAAACGGCGGUGAAUACGUUCCCGGGCCUUGUACACACCGCCCGU
rnacentral:rRNA from 1 species